rnacentral:rRNA from 1 species
GAUGAACGCUGGCGGCGUGCCUAAUACAUGCAAGUCGAGCGAACAGACGAGGAGCUUGCUCCUCUGACGUUAGCGGCGGACGGGUGAGUAACACGUGGAUAACCUACCUAUAAGACUGGGAUAACUUCGGGAAACCGGAGCUAAUAUCGGAUAAUAUAUUGAACCGCAUGGUUCAAUAGUGAAAGACGGUUUUGCUGUCACUUAUAGAUGGAUCCGCGCCGCAUUAGCUAGUUGGUAAGGUAACGGCUUACCAAGGCAACGAUGCGUAGCCGACCUGAGAGGGUGAUCGGCCACACUGGAACUGAGACACGGUCCAGACUCCUACGGGAGGCAGCAGUAGGGAAUCUUCCGCAAUGGGCGAAAGCUUGACGGAGCAACGCCGCGUGAGUGAUGAAGGUCUUCGGAUCGUAAAACUCCGUUAUUAGGGAAGAACAAAUGUGUAAGUAACUAUGCACGUCUUGACGGUACCUAAUCAGAAAGCCACGGCUAACUACGUG